AAAAUCACAGGCCCAGUUACUCUGUUUCUUACUUUAUUUUUCUGCUGAGCACAGUGAGAGUGUGGAAACUGAAAACUAGGGUUCUAUCUUUGCUUCUGCUUCUCCGUCAAAUUUUGUAUCUGAAUCUGCGAAAAUGACCAAAUUGACGAAGCUAGGUCGACCCACCGGUCACCGAAUGUCCAUGCUCAGAACCAUGGUAUUGCAGUUGGUAAAGCACGAACGCAUCGAAACAACUGUUGCUAAGGAGGUCAGAAGGCUUGCAGAUAACAUGGUACAGCUUGGAAAGGAGAUGCUAGGAGGCGUCGGAGAACUCGACCUCGGGUAGUCCAGAAGAAAAAGAGGAGACUGUUACCAUUUAUUCCUUCAGAAGAUCCUGCCCAGAGACUGAAACAAAUGGGUUCCCUUGCUUCUGCUUUAACAGCAUUGCAUAUGGAAUACAAUGAUCAUCUCACAUACAUGCCUGGAAUGGCUCAUGGAUCUGCUAAUGACGCCGAUUUUGAACGUGGUGGCAUGCAGGUCUCUACUAACUAAUUUUCUUUGCAGAUUUUUUACUGCUAGAAGUGUACCGUAACAAACAUACUAAUUACCAUGAACAUCUCCAUCAUUUUGUAAUAUUUUUAUAUUUUUUCCUCUUAGACCCUCUCCAUGGAAGACACGGAGACCUUGUUUUUUAUUUACUGCUAGAAGUGUACCGUAACAAACAUGCUAAUUACCAUGCACAUCUCCAUCAUUUUGUAAUAUUUUUAUUUUUUUCCUCUUAGACCCUCUCCAUGGAAGACACGGAGACCUUAGAAAACUGCAAAGCUAUGUCUACAAGAGGCGAAUGCCCUCCCUUUAUGGUUGUUUUUUAUUCACGUGAAGGGUACAUCUUGAACUCAUCACCAUGAAGUAGAAAAUCAAUUUAUGUUGCCUUAAUAUUUAGCAGACUUUCCCUUUCUUAAAUUGUUGCCAUGGGAAAUUUAUGGCAAUUUAUGUUGUAGAGCGAGCCCAAUUAUGCGGCUUAGAGAUGAAUAGAGUAGUAGCCUAGGAAAACUUUCUUCAUUUAGGUGAUAUCUCAAAAUUUGAACUGAGAUAUUAACAAGAGUUUCAAGGAAUCGAAAAGAUUAUGAGAUUUUACCUUAAUUUAUUACAUUUGAUAUUUAUCUUCUUUUACUCAAUGCUCAUCAUUUACUAUUAUGUUGGUCAAUCCUGUUUUGUAUGCCAACUAAAUCCUUGAGGGAUAUGAAUUUACUUGAAAGUGCUCUUUUAGAUGUAUUUCUCCCUCUUCUUUAAAUGUAAUUUACUUACAUCUAUAACUUACUAAAGCUAGAGGGAAUUGGCCACUGUUCAUCAAAGAAAACCCGCAGGAGCCGGGUUCAUAGUUACGGACAAUCCAGCUGCCAAAAUCUUCCUCUGCCGUAUUGUAUCUCCGGAAGAUUUGCUUGAUCUACUACUUCGGAUUUGUACCGGAAUUGCCCCCUAUCUGACCUUGAUUUUCUGCAAAUUGUUUUAUCAUGGUUGCUAUAAAAACUCAAUCCAUGAUUCCAUGUUCACACUCUCAACCUCGAUUCCCACGCGCCAUGAAAACUAGGGUUCAAGCUUGAUCUUCCUCUUCCCCUCUCUCCCUCUCAAUGGCUUCAUCUUCCUUACUCUUACGACCGGAGCUCAAGUUUCUUCCGCCACAAAUCACCCCAAAACGUCGUUGUUUUUCCCUCUCCGGAUUUUGCCUAUGCUCCGUUUCUCGGCACAAUGUCUCUCUUCGCAUGCGAAUCCGCCCUGUCAAGGAAGAAGGUGCUGCAGUGGUUGACUUGGCAGAGAGAGCGAGCGAUGUCAAAUGGACUGGAAACGGAGCUGCUACUUCUGCUGCUGCACGAGGUGGCACUAAUGGCUUUGUGAGAGGUUACGACUUGAAUGGAAGCUUGGUGAAGUAUGGUAAUGGUAAUGGAAAUGGCGCGGCGGUGGGAGGAGAUUUUGCUGCUGAAGCGUCGAGCAAGAGGAAGAGGAGGUUGGAGGAGAUUGGCAAAGAAGAUGCGUGGUUUAAACAACGCGGGGAGCCGCAGGUUGAGGUGGCGGGAACGUCAGUCGAAGAUAUCCGCAGUUACAAUUGCUGGAUUCUCUUGAAAAUUCUUCAAGAUUUGGUACCCUAAUUUACAAUUGAGAAAUGAGUGCUUUUGAAGGAGCGGCUGAGGGAGAAGAGGAAUGAGAAGCAUUGUUGAGAGAUGAGGUGGGUCUGUGGUGUGGUGGUUGUCGCGGAGGUCCUCGAACUCUAACACUCCGUCGUCGUCGUCGUUACCGUAGCUGUCUCUCUCUGUUUGGAGGAUGAUGACAGGAGUGGCGAAAUUGGCCUUUUGUUGUUUGCAACAGCGGAAAGACAUGAGGCCCAACAUGGAUGAGGCCUGGAAAUCUUGAGAGCAAUAAAGAGUGAUGAGCUUGACACAAGAGAAUCAAAAGCAGUGGAUGUUGUGACAGAUGAAAUUGUGCUUCUGAAGAAGGUUCCUUCACCAGUAAAGCUGUUUUGGGGAUUUUAUUGCAGCCCUUCAUGAUCUGGUAUAGCAAUUGUGAUUUUUAUUUUUUGUAUGUGUAUUGUAUUUUGAUCUAUUCCAAAUCAUGUAGGGGAAUUUAAUGAUGGCUCAGUAUCUGUGUUUACUGGUCUUUCAGCAUCAAAAGGUUCAAAUGGCAACUCAAUGCCUUCUCUGUUGCUUUCCAUCUUGAACUUAAUCUUUUACAGUAUUAUUUUUUCAAUGGAUAUGACUAAGUAUUAAUUUUGUUCCUCUUGGACUUUGAGUUUCUCUCUCACCCAUCAUAGCUAUGCUAUCAUUUCCCAAAUUUCAUUUUUCCUGCCAUGAACUUCAUCCCCCUCUUUUUUUUCUUAUCAAUUAUGCUAAAUAGCAAAACACACUCUUUUUCUUCAUCCAUUUAUUUACAGCUUUGAAAGUAGUUUCUUAUUUAUUGAUUUAGGCCAUUUUUUAAGACCUACCACCAGGUGAUAUUUGAGAUGUUGUUUGACUUUGUAUGUGUUCUAUGAUCUUUCUUUCUUUCUUUCUUUAAUAUGGGGGUUGUGGUCUUCUACUUCCGUCUUCUAGAAAUUUCUCCAUAGCAUCUUAAAUUGCCAGAAAAUUUGAUAACUUGAUAUCCUUUUUUUUACUAUAAAAUUAAGGAAUGCAUGCCAAAAGUGGAGCAUCCAGAAUCUUAUGCAGUUCCAGAAGUAAGUAUCUUAGGCUUCCUAUGUAUUACUUCUUGCACCAAACAGUUAAAGGAUCUUCAUAAAUUAGCAUGAUGCAGCAAAUUUAUCUGGUCAUGGUUUGAUUCAGUUUGUUAUAAUCUAGAGUCCGUGUAUGUGAGUAACAUUAAUCAUUUAUAAGGUGGGGAGGGGGAACAAACACCUUUUUGUCCAAAACUGAGAAACUAGAACAAGUUUAUUUGAUGAAAUGUAAAACAAAUUUUUGGUUUCAUAUUAAUUUCACUCCUUGCAACUGCAGAAUUAACCUGAUUUUGGGUUUUCCACAUAUAUAUUGCAGGUUGCAAAACAAUGUAAUGUAUAUCAGUGUGAUGCCUUUGUCCCAGUGACAAUUCACUCUCUUGGAAGAAAGCAUUUCAAAAUGAUGAAUUGGCUCUUUCUAAAGAUUGUUUCCCUAACAAAGAUUGUCGUACUGGUUAACAACUCAAUUUGCUGGCGGAAUCAUGUCUGCAGUGAUGGGAUUCAUAACAUUCAUCCGCUUGACACCGAACAUGCCAAGGAAAAUCACUGAAGUUGCCCUGUAUGGUGGCUCUGUGUAUUAUGAUGGCAACAUAAUGAAAGCACCUGCAAUUUCCAGUGAUGAACACAUGGCUUUGAUGAAGCGCAUGGCUGAACUAGAAGAGGAGGAGGAAAUGCUGAAUAAUGCUCUAAGCCGAGUAAGUACUCUAGAAGUAGACUUGGCUACAGCCAAAAAGGUCCGUCAUCUUCAGCUUUUCCAAACUUUCCCUCUAAUCCAGGAUCUUGGUGGAUACUUUGCAGAGAGUGGGUGUUGAGAUGCAAACUCUAGAGAUGGUACCAAAUCGCUGAAGGAGAAGAUAUUUACUGCAGAGGUAGAUCUUGAAAUUGCAAGAUGAGAUUUGGCAAAAAGGUUUUGGCGAGAGGGAUUUGGAUGCUGAACUAGCAUAUGGAGUACCUUAAAUUCAGAUAAAAAUUGAUUUGGAAAUAUUUCAAGAAUGAUUAUCUUGUGAAAAGUCCAAAUGGUACUCUGUGGAAUGCCCAAGGGUGUGGAAUGGUUAUCAUUUUACACACCGCCCUACCUUGAUUAACAUGGUGUUGCCAAACGGGUAUGUUACUGAGUGGUUUUUGAAUUGGGACGAAACGAGCUACCCUAAAUGCAUGAUAGGCAUCGGGUGGUAUGAGUAUUGUUGGGCAAGCAGGUUCAAUUUCACCGAUUAGUUGAGAUUUUCAUAGCUGCAAGCGCCUGAUACUUUUCAAGUUGUAGUUGUUCGAAACCCUUGAGUGUGUGGUGGUUUAAUAGUUUCAAUUGAAGAUUUCCAAUAAGUAAUGCUUGAGGAGCCAAAGUCUUGAGUGAAACCUAUGAAACAGCUGCCUCUGGAGUUCAGUUAACAGAGAUUGAGUUCAAAAAAGUCGGCAGCUAUGAAUGAUUUGAAUUUUAAAAAAUUAGGGGAACCACGCCAUGAGGAAGAAUAAAGUGGUUGAGACUAGACGACAAGAACUCGCAAUUGUUAGCAGGACAAUUGUUCAAUAUUUGGUGUGUCAGAAAAAUUACAGUGUCGAUCAAGGACCACCUAUAUUUGAUGGAUGCCAAUAAUUUAUGCCUAGUGGAGAAGGAGUCGUUGCUAUGACAUGUGCAGCUUGUGGAUGCCAAAUGGAGUACCACAAAAAACAUGUACAUGUUGAAGUGAAUUUGGGUGAUAAUGGUUGUUCUCAUGAGUCAUCAACAAGUGGACGUUGAUGACAUGAACAACUUCAUGAAGUAUUGUAGUGAAUGGUUUGGUGUUGUUUUCUACUUCUUUGGCUUUUGUACCGUUCCCUACUAUUUCAUAUGAUUUUAAAUUUCAGUGUAAUGAUGGACUGUGAUACAUGACAUCUUUUUGUGGUAUUUUGAUGUUGUAAAAAUGACAAAUACAAUUUUAAGUCAAACUGAAGUUGUUUUUGUUAUCAAAAGUAUUAGUGACUCAUUA